CUAUGAGCCCUGGGGCUUUUCAUCCAGCGAGGCUUUUUCUCUGCUCAGAGAAGCUUGAUCAGAAUUGCUAGUCCCUAUUAUAGGAUCUUUGUUCUGGGCAGGUAUUUCAUACUUCCAACCUGGGGGUAUUUGAUUCUCCCAACCUGGGGGUAUUUCAUCUGGUGAAAGUUUUCUGCUCAGAGAAGCCUGAUCAGAAUUGCCAGUUCCUACAGUAGAAUAUUUGUUCUGUCCAAGCAUUUCCUUUUCCCAGCCUGGUGGUAUUUCAUCUAGUGAAGCUUUUCUGCUCAGAUAAGCCUGAUCAGAAUUGCCAGAUCCUACUGUCGGGUCUUUAUAAUGGGUAAGUAUUUCCUUUUUCAAGCCUGGUGAUAAUUCAUCCCCUGAAGC
rnacentral:misc_RNA from 1 species